rnacentral:piRNA from 1 species
UAGCCGCUCAGUUCUACCAACGGAGCUACU